GCAGAAACAUACGCUAUAAAUAGAAGCUCGGAUGAGGGAAGGGCCUGCGGGGCCGACUCUGGCGAGAGGCACGGGAGAAAGGAAGUGGUGGUGCCAGCCUGCGUUCAGGCCAAGGGCAGCCACUGGGGGUGGGGGUUCACGCAGGGAGAGGCCCUGGGGAGAGGGGAGCUGUGCGCGCCCCGGGUGGGGAAAGAGCGGCUGGCCCGAGGUUCCACUGGCAGGUGCAGUGAGUCUUCUGCCCGUACUGCCCGGUGCCAGUCCCCCUCCCCACCAACCUCACAUGCCCCUGGAGGGCAGCAAGAACAGGUGCGGCUUUGGCGGGCUCUGCGCAGGGACGCUGAAGUGGAGGGAGGGGAUGGAGCUGCCGGGCCCCGGGGCCUCUGACCCACCCCACUUCAGCUCUGUGGCUGCCUGGUCCUGAGACCUUGAGUUUGGCACUGGAGAGAAGGGACGCUGGAACCCAGUGUGGAGCUGACGUGCCUGGGGCCACGCUGUGAGCUGGUGGUGGCGGGGGCACUGGAACCCAGGUGCCCUUUCCCUCCCAGUGGGAACACAGCUGCUUUUUGCACAGGGAACUACCUGCCUGCUAGAGACAAUGCCUCUAUUAAGUUCUCUGCCUUCAACCUUCUCUUUUUGGACAAGCACUUCAGACAACUGAAGAUAAACCAGGAAAAAAAUGAAAGCUAUGCCUGCUGGCUGGUAGCAUUAUGCAAAGACAUCCUUCCGAGAACGGCAGAGAAUUUAAAGUGACUUCUCUGUCCCUGAGCUGUGUCUCUACCUUUCCAAUCUCUCAUUUUUUAUGUUAUCUCAAGACUUUUCUAAAUAAAGCAAAGGCCAUGGCCCCUCAGGCAGGCCCCACCACUG